rnacentral:rRNA from 1 species
GAUGAACGCUGGCGGCGUGCCUAAUACAUGCAAGUCGAGCGAACGGACGAGAAGCUUGCUUCUCUGAUGUUAGCGGCGGACGGGUGAGUAACACGUGGAUAACCUACCUAUAAGACUGGGAUAACUUCGGGAAACCGGGCUAAUACCGGAUAAUAUUUUGAACCGCAUGGUUCAAAAGUGAAAGACGGUCUUGCUGUCACUUAUAGAUGGAUCCGCGCUGCAUUAGCUAGUUGGUAAGGUAACGGCUUACCAAGGCAACGAUGCAUAGCCGACCUGAGAGGGUGAUCGGCCACACUGGAACUGAGACACGGUCCAGACUCCUACGGGAGGCAGCAGUAGGGAAUCUUCCGCAAUGGGCGAAAGCCUGACGGAGCAACGCCGCGUGAGUGAUGAAGGUCUUCGGAUCGUAAAACUCUGUUAUUAGGGAAGAACAUAUGUGUAAGUAACUGUGCACAUCUUGACGGUACCUAAUCAGAAAGCCACGGCUAACUACGUG